GAGGGUACAGCUCAGUGGUAGAGCGUAUGCUUAGCAUGCGUGAGGUCCUGGGUUCAAUCCCCAGUACCUCUA
rnacentral:tRNA from 1 species